GGAGCGCAAUGGUGUGAUCUCAGCUCACUGCAACCUCCACCUCCCUGGCUCAAGCAAUCCUCCCACCUCAGCCUCCCAAGUAGCUGGCACCACAGAAAAUAAACUCCUGGAUCCAUAUUUCACACCUUAAGAAAGCACUCCAACCCCCAAGGGCAUCAACUUCAACAGGAAAACUGACCCUUCAACUUACCAAAUCUUUGAAGUGACUAGUUGUAUAGUACAACAAGCAGAAAAUUUGCUAUGGAGGUUGUGUUAACUGUUGACAUUUAUGUGAGAUUUUUGCUGCAUAUUUGUUAGAAAAGGCUCAACAAAAUUAUAAUAAACAAUGAUUGUGUUAUUAAUUUUUUAACUGUUAUAUCAGUUAUAAAUGCUUGGAAUGAAAAUGCCUUAAGGAAAUUAGUCAAUAAUGUCACAUAUGUUACUUUUUCUAAUUGGAUCUGCCAUGAUUGCUAUAAAACUUUGUCCUUCCACUAUGACUCAUGAGUAACUUCAAUAACAAACUGCUUGGGAAUUCCCAAUGCCACAGUAGAACUAGUAUAUGCAAACAUUAUUUAUUAUCAGGGUGCACAUAAAGGGAAACUAGGACAAAAACCUACCCUGUUUCAAUUUGAUCUUGUUCUCUUAAGCAUGGAAAAAGAAUACUUGUUGCUAUAACUCAACAACUAAAACUCUUGUUUCUCAGGAGAAAAUGCAAAAAGAAAACCAGUUUAUUUGUCAUUUUUGGUUUUGCAAAUGCUAAUCAAAGUUGGUCUUUAUGCAAUGCAAUUUUUCCCACUCUUAAAACUGACUGAUAACAGCAAAUCAGACUGAACCUAAAAAUGACUCCUUCAAAAGUACUAAAAGCCUGUGUGCUUAUGUUUAUAUAUUUGUCUGUGAAUGGGGACCAAAUCCUUUUAUAUGCUGGGGAAGAAAAUUCCUUGACUCUUGGUCAUUAGCAAGUCAGUGUACUUGGGUGCUCAUGUCACUAAAAUACCUCAUUUAUCCCUCCAAUAACACCUUCUUCUGGCCAGAAGGAUUAUAUUUAUCCUGUUUCAAAAGGGAAAAUCCUGGAGCACCUGAGGCAUAAAUAUGUCAUCUUCUGCCCAAUUAGUGUUUUUUUGUUUGUUUGUUUGCUUUGCCUGGAGUAGAACAUGGAGAAAUAUGAUCAUGAUUACUGAUUUCUCUCAAAUCCUAGGCAACCUAGCUGAUACGGUUUAUCUCUGUGUCCCCACCCAAAUCUCAUCUCAAAUUGUAAUCCCCACAUGUUGAGGGAGGGGAGUGAUUGGAUUAUGGGGGCUGUUUCCCUCAUGCUGUUCUUGUGAUAGUGAGUGAAUUCUCAUAAGAUCUGAUGGUUUUAUAAAUGGUAUUUUUUCCUGUGUGCUCGCUUCUGUCUCCUGCCACCAUGUGAAGAAGGUCCUUCCUUCCCCUUCACCUUCCACCAUGAUUGUAAGUUUCCUGAGGCUUCUCCAGAUGUGUGGAACUGUGAGUCAAUUAAACCUUCUUCCUUUAUAAAUUACACAGUCUUUGGAAGUUCUUUAUAGCAGUGUGAAAAUGUACUAAUACACUAACCUAUUCAACUGUCAAAGUUAUUGCCACUCAGUAAUAAUCUUUAAAUUCAUUAGCAGCAACUGUAUUAAAUAACAGAAUUACUCUAGAUUAUCUGUUGGCAGUACAGGGAAAUGUUUGUGGGAUAGUUAACAACUUACGUUAUACUUGGGAAAAUGCCUCUGAAGUAGUUGAACUGGAGCUCAAUAAAAUUAGUUUAGGCAGGUCGGCUAAGACAAGUGCCAUCUAUUGGUAAGCCAUCCUUUGACUUAUUUAGUUGUUACCAGAAAGGAUACAUUCCUUGACUAGAUCCCUGUUACAACUUAGUAUCAUUAUAACAUUAUUGUUUCUUUUUUAAAACUGUUCACUAAGUUCUUGGAAAACAUUAUUGUUUCUGAUAAUUUUGUUGAUCUGUAAGUAUUUGUCUCAAUGCUUAGAACAAGCACUAAUGCUGCCCACUGAUUUGAUGUUGGCCCAGAUUCCUGUAGCCUGUUCUGAACAUCCAGAAGGAACUUACAGCACCUAGAAUUAUAAGCUUGACUGAGUCUAUGAAAUAGCUUGUAAAUUCACUUCCCUGUGAGCCAGGGACCCAGAACAGAUAGUCUUACUUCACCCUGGCUUUUGCAGGACAAGAUGGAGCUCAUACAGCAUUGAUUUCGUCAGUGUCUAGGGACCUGUGGUGAUCACAGAUAUUCUCUCCUGGGAGAAAUAUCUUGAUCAAAUGAGGGAAAUGUGAGCUUAUCAAUGUUCCACACUUGCCAUCAGUAAUUUCAUCUUUGUCUACUGACUUCACAUUAAUACUGCCGAUGAACUUUGAGAUCUACAAAGUAACACUUCCUUCACAAAUAUUUGUACUCUCAACAGUACACACUAUAAAGAAACCGGUCACUAUCUUUAAGAACUUUAUAUAUAUAGCUUUUCUGACAAACUGAUGUAAUUUAUUCACGUUUAAUCAACUAAUGAAAUAAUCUGACAAACAAUAUAUGUAAACUAAAUAAGUUUUUCUCAAUGUAAGCCCUCUUUCCUCUUUCAGGUGGUGCAGUCUCUGGCUGCUAACUGGGUUGUAAUCCCUGUUCCUGAAUAAAUGUUUAUUU
rnacentral:lncRNA from 1 species